rnacentral:rRNA from 1 species
AAACUUUCAACAACGGAUCUCUAGGCUCUUGCAUCGAUGAAGAACGCAGUGAAAUGUGAUAAGUAAUGUGAAUUGCAGAAUCUCGUGAAUCAUCGAAUCUUUGAACGCACAUUGCGCCCAAUGGUAUUCCAUUGGGCAUACCUGUUUGAGUGUCAGA